GGAAAUGUGGCUCAGUGGUAGAGUGCUUGCCUAGCAUGCAUGAAGCCCUGAAUUCGAUUCCUCAGUACCA
rfam:Dipodomys ordii contig_68287, whole genome shotgun sequence.